rnacentral:tRNA from 1 species
ACCUUCAUCGUGUAGCGGUCAGCACGCUCGACGCGUAACCGAGAGGUCCGUGGUUCGAUUCCCGGCGAAGGCG